rnacentral:rRNA from 1 species
UGGGGAAUCUUGCGCAAUGGGCGAAAGCCUGACGCAGCCAUGCCGCGUGAAUGAUGAAGGUCUUAGGAUUGUAAAAUUCUUUCACCGAGGACGAUAAUGACGGUACCCGGAGAAGAAGCCCCGGCUAACUUCGUGCCAGCAGCCGCGGUAAUACGAAGGGGGCUAGCGUUGCUCGGAAUUACUGGGCGUAAAGGGAGCGUAGGCGGACUGUUAAGUUAGAGGUGAAAGCCCAGGGCUCAACCUUGGAAUUGCCUUUGAUACUGGCAGUCUUGAGUACGGAAGAGGUAUGUGGAACUCCGAGUGUAGAGGUGAAAUUCGUAGAUAUUCGGAAGAACACCAGUGGCGAAGGCGACAUACUGGUCCGUUACUGACGCUGAGGCUCGAAAGCGUGGGGAGCAAACA